AUUGAACGCUGGCGGCAUGCCUUACACAUGCAAGUCGGACGAGUGGCGAACGGGUGAGUAACGCAUCGGAACGUGCCGGAUGAAGGGGGAUAACUAUUGGAAAGGGCAGCUAAUACCGCAUACUAUUCGAUGGGCCGAGGUGUGAUUAGCUGGUUGGGGGGGUAAAGGCCCACCAAGGCGACGAUCACUAGCUGGUCUGAGAGGAUGAUCAGCAACACUGGGACUGAGACACGGCCCAGACUCCUACGGGAGGCAGCAGUGGGGAAUUGUGGACAAUGGGCGCAAGCCUGAUCCAGCCAUGCCGCGUGUAUGAAGAAGGCCUUCGGGUUGUAAAGUACUUUUGGCAGGGAAGCGGUACCUGAAGAAUAAGCACCGGCUAACUACGUGCCAGCCGCCGCGGUAAUAC
rnacentral:rRNA from 1 species